GCUGUGGUAGCUCAGUGGUUACAGCUUCAAGCUGCAGUUAAGAAGGUCUUGUGUUCAACUCCCGGCCACCCCA